UCCUUUUGAGUAUUUUGAUGAAAGGUAGGGCCUGCCCGGUGCAAUAAGCGUCAACGGCCGCGGUAAUAUGACCGUGCGAAGGUAGCAUAAUCAUUAGUUUUUUAAUUGGGGGCUGGAAUGAAAGGUUGAACAUAGGAAGGGCUGUCUUAAGUUGCGGUGUGAAGUUAAGUUUUCUGUGAAGACGCAGAAUUGUCUCUAUUAGACGAGAAGACCCUAUUAAGCUUUACCCUCUUAAUGGAUUUAUUUAGCAUUAGCAGGGUUUUGUUGGGGCGACAGAAUAGAGGAGAAUCUUUUUUGUGGGGGAGAUUUGUUGAAAAAAUGUUAUUUGACCCAUGGUUUAUGGGAGAAGGAAAAAGUUACUGUAGGGAUAACAGCGUAAUCACAUUGGAGAGUUCAAAUUGAUGAUGUGGGUUGCGACCUCGAUGUUGAAUUAGAAUUCCUAGGGGCUGCAGGAAGCUCAUAAGGGGG
rnacentral:rRNA from 1 species